UACGUAGGGGGCAAGCGUUGUCCGGAUUUAUUGGGCGUAAAGCGCGUGUAGGCGGCCCGGUAAGUCCGCUGUGAAAGUCGGGGGCUCAACCCUCGAAUGCCGGUGGAUACUGUCGGGCUAGAGUGCGGAAGAGGCGAGUGGAAUUCCUGGUGUAGCGGUGAAAUGCGCAGAUAUCAGGAGGAACACCAAUUGCGAAGGCAGCUCGCUGGGACGUAACUGACGCUGAGACGCGAAAGCGUGGGGAGCAAACAGG
rnacentral:rRNA from 1 species